UGGGGAAUAUUGGACAAUGGGGGCAACCCUGAUCCAGCAAUGCCGCGUGAGUGAUGAAGGCCUUAGGGUUGUAAAGCUCUUUUGGCGGGGACGAUGAUGACGGUACCCGCAGAAUAAGCCCCGGCUAACUUCGUGCCAGCAGCCGCGGUAAUACGAAGGGGGCGAGCGUUGUUCGGAAUUACUGGGCGUAAAGGGCGCGUAGGCGGCCGAUCAAGUCAGAUGUGAAAGUCCUGGGCUUAACCUGGGGACUGCAUUUGAUACUGAUUGGCUUGAAUGCAGGAGAGGAUAGCGGAAUUCCCAGUGUAGAGGUGAAAUUCGUAGAUAUUGGGAAGAACACCGGUGGCGAAGGCGGCUAUCUGGACUGUGAUUGACGCUGAGGCGCGAAAGCGUGGGGAGCAAACAGGAUUAGAUACCCCCGUAGUCC
rnacentral:rRNA from 1 species